GACCAAAAAAAAAAAAAAAAAGAAAAGAAAGAAAAUGAAGAUUCACUUGAAAAAUAUUGACAAUACUAAGUAUCAGUAAGGAGUGGUUAUUAAUGGUGCUCCAGUGGAACAACUGGAAUUCUGAUAUAUUGCUAAUGAGAAUGUACAGUGGUAGAGCCAUUUUGGAAAACUGGUAAGUUUUAGAAAAUCAAACCCACUCUUAACUGUAUCACCCUGUCUUCCUCUCCUCUGCAUUCACUCCAAAGAACUGAAAACAUAUGGCAAUACCAAGGUUUGAACACCAAUGUUCAUAGCAACAUUAUUCAUAUUAGCCCUCAACUGGAAACACCCCAAGUGUCCCUUAGCAGGUGAGUGAAUAGACACAUUGUAGUGUAUCCAUGUGGUGGAAUACUACUCAGCACUAAAAAUGAACAAACUGCUGAGAUAUGCAAAACUGAUCAGCCUAAAAAUGUUAAAAAUACGCUAAACAGAAGAAGCCACCCACAGAGAGUACAUACUCUGUUCUUCUAUUUAUAGGAUAUUCUGGAAGUGGGGAAAUUGUAGGGAGAGGAAACAGAUCAGUUGUUACAAUGGGCUGAGGGGUGAAGAGACUGAUGACCAAGGGGACAAGGGUGAUAGAAAACUUUUAAAUCUUCAUCAGAGUAGUGAUUACAUGUAUGAUUUGUCAAAACCCAUUGAAGUGGCUGCAUUUAUUGGAUGUAAAUUAUGUCUCCAGAAAGUUGAUUCUUUAAAGGGCAUCAGGAUACAGCUUGGAAGCAGUUACCCAUUUAUCUCCAGAGACCCCUAAUGAGGAUACAUUGCUGUGUCCACCCUGGGGCCACAGGAACCUAUCAGCUCAGGAGCAUUGGAUUGAUCUGGGUGAGAAGAAGCUUAUCUUCAAUAGGAUUGGGAAGCAGGACAGACAAUUAUCUGAGUUUGGUAAGUGUGUACUUUCAAGUGGUUCAUGGGACAAAAUCCUUGGGUGGAUAUAAUGGGAAAUUAACCAGUGUCUGCCUGAUACUUAAUUUCUGAGUAAGUAAACCCUAUCCAAAGGGCUCUGUGCCUCAUAGUCGCUGCCUCCAGGCUUUACCUAGUAAGUCAUUUAUAGUAAGAUUGUGACAGGUUGGGCAUAGAAGUGAUUGUUUGAAGCAAGGUAUGUAAAUGAGCUCAGCUUGGUGGGGAAGACAGCUCUCCAGACUACCUCACGUAACCUGCUCACUCCUAAUCUGGGGUCAUAUCUGUUUCUAGAAAAGUUCCUGGAGAAAUUAGCUGUAUGUUUUAAACCACUGCCACUGUCUACUUAGGAGAUAAGUAAACUUUGUUUUGCUCUUGGAAUGCGGGCAAGCUUGUGGUAUAAGUUAGGAGCAAUAAUUAUGGUAACAUGGAUAUGGGAAUGGCAAUUAUCUUAACAAGUGUGUAGUUUUGAUUUGUUAAAGCAGCCCCUACAUUUUACUAGGUCCUAGGAGAUCAAAUACAUUUGGGAAAUGCUACACUUUGUGACGCCCUCUUGAUGAUCCAGAAAGAAUAUUUGAUCAUUAGAGUUUAAAAGCACUGUAUUUAAAAAAGGAAAACAGUAUUCCCCAAUCUUUCAUGAUCGAAUCUUCCUUUUUUUUUUUUUUUCCUUACCUUUUGCUUCCCACACAGGACAUUUUAAAAUUUCACAGAACACACUUCAGAAAACGCUAUGUAAAAUGAAAAGAUUUAAUUGCUACGGACACACUCCCCAAAAGUCACUGGUCUUGGUGCCACAUGUGUGAAGUGAUGACACAUGACACACUGAAAUAACUUUUAGGGACACUGCUGGUUUUAAUUCACUAAUUUUAUAUCUAUACAAAAUUUGGUACCAAAAUGAUCACGUGGAAAAGCAGGAUGAUGCUGGCAACAUAAACCACUCUGGGACAAUUAGCCACCUGGCCUUCAAUAGAUGCAGUGGACUAACUGGUUUGCAUGCUGGUGAAGGCUGGAACUAUUUCAGUGUUUCUCCUUGAUAUCAUUUGUGGAGGAAAUUUUUUUAGACAUAAUUUUAGGGGCAAAAAUAGGAAUAUUAAAAGAACAUCUGAACUCUUCCUCAAAGUUAAUGUUUAGAAAACUUCUCAGUGACUGGCACAAAUUUGUUUGAUCUAAGCCAUUAUUUCAGCUUUCAAAGGUGCAAAUAACACAUCCACUGUACAUCCUUGUUCCAUAAUUCUGAUUUUCUUUAUGAGAAGUUUUCUCCUUAUUUACCUGAAAGGGUUAGAUAUUUAAUUUCGUCAAGAGGUAUUUAAGUAUAAUUUUAUGAUUUCUUUUUACACGCAUGUCCUCAAUUAAGAGGACAUGCAUGUUCUUGAUAAUCAUCAGUUGACCCUUGUCAGUGGCUUUGGAAAAAACAUGUACAUGAAGUCGAUGAAGAAACUGUGCUGUGAUCAUCUGAAGGACAGCUAGGGGAAUCACAUAUCAUGUUGGAUGUUACCAAAGGAUGACUGGAAAGAAAGAAGAAGGGAGGAAAGAAACAGGAAGGAAAGAAGGGAGGAAAGGAAGGAAGAAGGUGCAAUCUGGAUUUCAUGCUCAUUAUAAUAAGGAUUGUCCAAGGGGCUCAUUAAUUUUAAAAAUGCUUACUACAUUGCCCCUGCUGAAGCUUGUUAAUGAGAACUCUAUUACGAUUUUGUGUUGCAGUGUUUGUAAAAUGCUAUGUGACAAGUUCCACAUCUGUGCCCUGUUGGUGACCCUGCCCAGCUGCGCUGAAGGGGACUCCUGGGGCUUUGAGAGGACGUAGGGGCCCAGGCCCCACUCGUCAUGGAGACCCUCAUGUGAUUCUGUGUCCAGAUGAAUGUAGACCCACUGGACUACCAUUCUCACCAUUAAAGAAUUAGUCUGUAUAGUCUUGUGAAUGCUAAAUAAUAACAUUUAUGUCUAUUGGAGAAACGUUUCAUUAGAACAAAUACACAUUUUUGAAAUAAAUGCUCUGCUGGGGUUGAUCACAGGGGGAAAAUCCUAAAAUACCCCAGUAAGUACUCUCAUCACUCUGUACGCCAUCAAUUCUCAGAAAAAUUGAAAUGUAUAUGUAAAUCUAUGUAAAUUAUACAGCCUGAUAAUUAGCAUCUUGAGGUUCUUUUGGUAAAUUUCUCUUAAGCUUUAGCUAGGUAGCUCUAAAUUCUAAAAUUGACUGCAGACGGAAAAUACUUUCCAAUUCGGGUGUUUUCUCUGAACUAAAUAAUUAAGUAGCUCAGUUGAUUUUAACAGCCUUUAGGUAAGGAAGGAGUAAAAUGGUAAUAUCCUCAUUAGGGGAUAAUAUGUUCGUGCAGGAGAAGAAUUCACAAGAAUUCACAAAGAUGAAAGGUCGAUAAAUGGAAAUGAUUCCUUAAGUUUGAGUGCUCUGGACUGUGCCAUGGUGUAAAGCACAGGAAGUUUUAGUGUCUCCAUACAUUUGGCAGUAAUCCAAAAUGGUUCAUUCUAAUGCAGAAGGUACCAUCUCUCUUAAUCUCUAGAGGUUAAAAAAAAAGUUUGGAAAUAAAAUGCAUUCUUUAGAAUGUUUUCUUUUUUAUACUAGAUAAAAAAUGAACCAAAUGUAUUUGUAGAGUGUGAUCAUUUAACUUUGCCUCUGAAUUACUGAAAAGGGUACAAGAGCUAUUUCUAAUAUUGCCCGUCAAGCUGGAGGCUUUUCUCUACUUUUCGUCUUCUUUUUGGGUCAUAUUUGCUUCAGCUACAUUGGGAGACUAUAAAGGCUCAGAUAACCAACUGCAAGGUUAACUAUUUUGCAAUGUUAUCGAUCAACUGAAUAGAAUUUUAGGUUCCAAACUCUUGAUACCAAAAAUCACUUUUAAUUUGCCCGUUUAAUUUGUGGGAUGAUCCAUUCAUUCAAAAUGUCCCAUGAAGGUUUGUGGGUUAAUUAAAUAGCUCAUCUGGUAGAAAUCCCAGUGUUCAAAGGACACAGUUAAUCCAAUCUUCAAAGGAUAUAAAAAUAAGAUAAACACAAAGAAAUAGAAAAUAAACGAACAUAAAAUGAUGCCAUAUUUUCUUCCCGUAAACUUGUCAUGGUUCUCUUCAAAUGUCACUUGAUGUUUUUUUCAUAUUUAGGAUGAAAAGAUAAGAAGAGAAAAGUAGAAAACACGUUCAAGUAGUUAGUAUUAAAAAGUUUCAGUGAUGUUGAAAAGCAGAAGAUUGCACUUAUAGAAUGCUGAUGUGGCAGAGUGUAUAAACAUGUGCCUCAAGACAGAAAGACAGAUGUUCAAUUAACAGAAGUUUUCUUUUGCUGUUUGGUUUUGGGGUUCUGUGUCAAUCCUGAAAGCUCAGGAAAGGAGACAAGAAUAUUUAUGAAGGGAAACAGAUUUUACCCAACAAUCCCUGAACAACAUUUAUCAUGUUAAGAUGUGUCCUUGAGUAAAAAGCCAGGUAGACAAACUGGGGAGGCUUUAAAAAUAAAUGCAUUGUGUUUGAGAAUUACAGCCAAGAUUUCCCACUCAAGAUGGUAGACAGAGCACUUACACCCAUGCUCCUGCAAUCAGAGUCCCUCUGAAAUCACUAAAAGGAUAUUUUUAAAACUAUGUGACCAUAAGUGUACCCACCAGCGGCCCAGAAAUAUUAAGGACCAUAUGGAUGAUGGAAGUGAAUGGGAUAAAAUUAAUUGGAGGAAGAAAAAGAGAAAAACAUAACUGAAGAAAUAACACACGACCAAGAAGAGUCAGAUCUUUGAGGGAAACAAAGAACAAGUCAGAUACACACAUACAUACAUAUAUCUGUGGAUGUGCUGAAUUUUAAAAUUGGACAAAACGGAGGAGGAAGAUUAUUGAUCUGGAAGGUAAAGUUAAGGAAAUAUCUUAUAAUAUUGACCAGAAAACAGAGAUUAAAAAUUAAAGUGAAAAGCCGUGACGGAUAGAUACAGGGCACUGAAGACGUUUCCAAUAAGAGUUCCAACUAUAGAAGUUCCCAUUGUGGCUCAGCAGAAAUGAAUCUGACUAG